rnacentral:rRNA from 1 species
UACAGAGGGUGCAAGCGUUGUUCGGAAUUAUUGGGCGUAAAGCGCGUGUAGGCGGCUUUGCAAAUCGGGUGUGAAAGCCCUCAGCUCAACCGAGGAAGUGCGCCCGAAACUGCAGAGCUUGAGUACCGGAGAGGAUGGCGGAAUUCCCCAAGUAGAGGUGAAAUUCGUAGAUAUGGGGAGGAACACCGGUGGCGAAGGCGGCCAUCUGGACGGAUACUGACGCUGAGACGCGAAAGCGUGGGUAGCAAACAGG